GACAGAGGUGGCUAGCGUUGUUCGGAUUGAUUGGGUGUAAAGGGUGCGUAGGCGGUUUGGAAAGUCGGAUGUGAAAUCCUAUGGCUUAACCAUAGAAUUGCAUUCGAAACUUCUAGACUAGAGUGCGAGAGAGGUAAAGGGAAUUCCCGGUGUAAGAGUGAAAUCUGUAGAGAUCGGGAGGAACACCAGUAGCGAAGGCGCUUUACUGGCUCGUAACUGACGCUGAGUGCACGAAAGCAUGGGGAGCAAACGGG
rnacentral:rRNA from 1 species